UCAUUCACUUAAAAAAUAGAAUGUGACCACACUGUAAUUUUUAUAUUGCUUAAAAGAUUUUGCUGGGGUGUAUAAGCUGUAAGGAAAAAUUAAGAAUACAAAGAAAUGAAGAGAUG